AAGGGAGACCUAAUUCGGGUAUAAGACGAAAAAAGAGUAGUCGAAACCAAGAAUCAAUCCCAAAAGGUCGGAACGAGGUAUGUGGCUUUCAAACUAGGUUCUGGGUUCACACAAGACCUGAAUCAGGAACAAGGGCUAUUAGCUCAGGUGGUUGGAGCGCACCCCUGAUAAGGGUGAGGUCCCUGGUUCGAGUCCAGGAUGGCCCACCUGCACAGGUGGCAAAAACAAAGAAGCGAGGAAUCAGCACCUUAUCUUAUCUAUAUAUAAGAGAGAAUGCUGGCUCUGAGUAAAGAGUCCAGAGGAACCUUGAAAACUGCAUAGAACUAGGUGAAAAAGCCAAAAAAGAAGACCGCAA
rnacentral:tRNA from 1 species